rnacentral:pre_miRNA from 1 species
GUACUACUCCCUUCGUCCGAAAAUACUUGUCAUCAAAAUAGAUAAAAGGGGAUGUAUCUAGACGUAUUUUAGUUCUAGAUACAUCUCUUUUUAUCCAUUUUAAUGACAAGUAUUUUCGGAUGGAGGGAGUACUGU